rnacentral:rRNA from 1 species
GACGAACGCUGGCGGCGUGCUUAACACAUGCAAGUCGAACGGAAAGGCCCUGCUUUUGUGGGGUGCUCGAGUGGCGAACGGGUGAGUAACACGUGAGUAACCUGCCCUUGACUUUGGGAUAACUUCAGGAAACUGGGGCUAAUACCGGAUAGGAGCUCCUGCUGCAUGGUGGGGGUUGGAAAGUUUCGGCGGUUGAGGAUGGACUCGCGGCUUAUCAGCUUGUUGGUGGGGUAGUGGCUUACCAAGGCUUUGACGGGUAGCCGGCCUGAGAGGGUGACCGGCCACAUUGGGACUGAGAUACGGCCCAGACUCCUACGGGAGGCAGCAGUGGGGAAUAUUGCACAAUGGGCGGAAGCCUGAUGCAGCAACGCCGGGUGCGGGAUGACGGCCUUCGGGUUGUAAACCGCUUUCGCCUGUGACGAAGCGUGAGUGACGGUAAUGGGGAAAGAAGCACCGGCUAACUACGU